rnacentral:rRNA from 1 species
GAUGAACGCUGGCGGCGUGCCUAAUACAUGCAAGUCGAGCGAACAGAUGAGGAGCUUGCUCCUCUGACGUUAGCGGCGGACGGGUGAGUAACACGUGGAUAACCUACCUAUAAGACUGGGAUAACUUCGGGAAACCGGAUCUAAUACCGGAUAAUAUAUUGAACCGCAUGGUUCAAUAGUGAAAGACGGUUUUGCUGUCUCUUAUAGAUGGAUCCGCGCCGCAUUAGCUAGUUGGUAAGGUAACGGCUUACCAAGGCAACGAUGCGUAGCCGACCUGAGAGGGUGAUCGGCCACACUGGAACUGAGACACGGUCCAGACUCCUACGGGAGGCAGCAGUAGGGAAUCUUCCGCAAUGGGCGAAAGCCUGACGGAGCAACGCCGCGUGAGUGAUGAAGGUCUUCGGAUCGUAAAGCUCUGUUAUUAGGGAAGAACAGAUGUGGAAGUAACUAUGCACGUCUUGACGGUACCUAAUCAGAAAGCAACGGCUAACUACGUG